rfam:TPA: Bos taurus chromosome 17, whole genome shotgun sequence.
UCCCUAAUAGCUCAGUUGGUAAAGAAUUCGCCUGCAAUGUGGGAGAUCUGGGUUCAAUCCCUGGUUUGGGAA